UUGAGCAAAUUAUACUUCUCUGAGCAAAUUCUGAAACAUGCUUGCUUCUCUCUGCCUGGUUCCUCUAUCAUUCAGAAACUGGUUGUGAGUAUUGACUUAUAUCAAUAUAGUUGUUUGCAUCAGUGCAACAAGAAUCCAUUUUCUUUUGUAACAGGACACAAUUGGAAAAACUGGUUGUUUUACCUAGGCCUUGACUGGAAGAGUGUGUUUCUCUUUCAGGAGUCAAGCUUGACUUGCAGAGCUGAUGAAAGGCCCUGGGGAAACUGGCCUUAUACUUUGUCCACACAGCCCCUGUACAGGGUUCCUAACCUGUGGUCUGUUAAAAAAACUCCAAAAACAGGGAUUUUUAGGCCCACUUGCACUUAGCCUCCUCUUCCCACCUCCUGUUCAUCUCCAUUUCUGAUGUUCCACUGCCCUCACUGCCAGGAAGUUCUGCAGAGAAGAAUGAAGAAGAACUUUAUGAUCUUAACGAUGUUCUCCAAAGAUAUUAUCAGCCCACUAUCAGCCUUAUUUAUUGAAAACAAAGAAGAAAUACAUUGGCAUACAUUAGUUGGACUCUAUUCUGUGCUAUCUUGGAAAAUGUUGUUGGAAGACAGCUAG
rnacentral:lncRNA from 13 species